rnacentral:rRNA from 1 species
UACGAAGGGGGCUAGCGUUGCUCGGAAUCACUGGGCGUAAAGCGCACGUAGGCGGAUCUUUAAGUCAGGGGUGAAAUCCUGGAGCUCAACUCCAGAACUGCCUUUGAUACUGGGGAUCUCGAGUCCGGAAGAGGUGAGUGGAACUCCGAGUGUAGAGGUGAAGUUCGUAGAUAUUCGGAAGAACACCAGUGGCGAAGGCGGCUCACUGGUCCGGUACUGACGCUGAGGUGCGAAAGCGUGGGGAGCAAACAGG